AGCUUAGAUUCUAUCAACUUAUUGAAUUGAAGAAAUUACAAUUUAAUGGAAGUAUUGGAGAAAGAGUAGCUAGCUGAAAGGACUUUUUGGUUAAUGCAUGUGGGGAGAUCAUAUUCAUAAUGGAGAAAAGGUGGGGUAUCUUGAAGAUAGGGUUUCAGUUGAUUUUUGGAGUUGGAAUUGAGGGUUUUCUGCAAUUCAGUGGAUUAUUACAGAGAAGGGUGUAGAGUGAGUGUAGUACUAUAAUUUUUCUCAAGAGGAAGUGGGUUUUUAAAUAAAU
rnacentral:misc_RNA from 1 species